rnacentral:rRNA from 1 species
UACGUAGGGUGCAAGCGUUGUCCGGAAUCAUUGGGCGUAAAGAGCGUGUAGGCGGCUCGGUAAGUCCGCUGUGAAAGUCCAGGGCUCAACCCUGGAAUGCCAGUGGAAACUGUCGAGCUAGAGUCCGGAAGAGGCGAGUGGAAUUCCUGGUGUAGCGGUGAAAUGCGCAGAUAUCAGGAGGAACACCGGUGGCGAAGGCGGGUCUCUGGGCCGAUACUGACGCUGAGGAGCGAAAGCGUGGGGAGCGAACAGG